GUGCCAGCAGCCGCGGUAAUACGUAGGGUGCGAGCGUUAAUCGGAAUUACUGGGCGUAAAGCGUGCGCAGGCGGAUGCUUAAGCCAGACGUGAAAUCCCCGGGCUUAACCUGGGAAUGGCGUUUGGGACUGGGUGUCUUGGAGUGCGGCAGAGGGAGGUGGAAUUCCUGGUGUAGCAGUGAAAUGCGUAGAUAUCAGGAGGAACACCGAUGGCGAAGGCAGCCUCCUGGGCCAGCACUGACGCUCAUGCACGAAAGCGUGGGGAGCAAACAGGAUUAGAUACCCCCGUAGUCC
rnacentral:rRNA from 1 species